UUCAGGAAACACUCUCAUUAUUUCAUACUCAAUCCCUCUAGGACGUUGAGAGCUACUACCCAAUCCUGAACCCUGUGCUCAAUAGAGAAGUAAAGAAGACUGGAGGACGAGUUCUUAUAACUCUUGGAGAUCAGGAGAUUGACUUGUCACCUUCUUUCACCAUUUUCCUUUCAAUGAGGGAUCCUUCUGUUGAAUUCCCUCCUGAUCUUUGCUCUAAAGUCACUUUUGUUAAUUUCACCGUCACAAGAAGCAGUCUACAGAGCCAGUGCCUUAAUAGAGUUCUUAAAUCCAAGAGUCCAGACGUUGAUGAGAAGAGGUCCAACCUACUUAAACUUCAAGUGAGUUCCUCCUUCGUUUGCAUCACCUUGAGAAGAGUCUUCUCACUGCAUUGAACGAGGUCAAGGGUCGUAUCCUAGACAACAACAGAAUCAUUACUGAGCUUGAGACUCUUAAACGAG